CUUCCUGAAAACACAGAGGACAUGUGAAUCCUGGGACUGCCGAUCUCACCGCUCCAGCUUCAGACCAGCAGCCCCACGGCGGUUCCAGGGAGAGGGUCAGUCUCCCACCUGGCACCUUCUUCCCAGGGGAUCUUCCUGACCCGAGGAUCGAACCUGCAUCUCCUCUGUCUCCUGCAUUGGCAGGCGGAUGCUCUACCACUGAGUCACCUGGGAAGCCCACAUGUUGUGAAAGCAAUGAAGUUAAGUCUCAGAGAUUCCAGGCUGUGAGGAAGACGGCGCCAGAUGGGACCCCACCUUGUAAACCCCUGGUCUUAGCUCAUCAGCCCAGGGUUAUUUUGUUUUCAGAUAUCCAUAAGGAUCCGAAUAAAAACAACGGAAGCACACCCUGACCCCCACCA